rnacentral:rRNA from 1 species
AUUCGCCCUUAGAGUUUGAUCCUGGCUCAGGAUGAACGCUGGCGGCGUGCCUAACACAUGCAAGUCGAGCGAAGCAAUCCUAACUGAUCCCUUCGGGGUGACGACUGGAUUGUCUUAGCGGCGGACGGGUGAGUAACGCGUGAGAAACCUGCCUUUCACAAAGGAAUAGCCUCUGGAAACGGGGAUUAAUACCUUAUGAUACAUUAGCUUCGCAUGAAGCCAAUGUCAAAACGUAAAGUGGUGAAAGAUGGUCUCACGUCCCAUUAGCUAGUUGGUAAGAUAAAAGCUUACCAAGGCAAUGAUGGGUAGCCGGCCUGAGAGGGUGAACGGCCACACUGGAACUGAGACACGGUCCAGACUCCUACGGGAGGCAGCAGUGGGGAAUAUUGCACAAUGGAGGAAACUCUGAUGCAGCGACGUCGCGUGAACGAUGAAGGCCUUCGGGUCGUAAAGUUCUGUCCUUGGGGAAGAUAAUGACGGUACCCGAGGAGGAAGCCCCGGCUAACUACGUGCCAGCAGCCGCGGUAAUACGUAGGGGGCGAGCGUUAUCCGGAUUUAUUGGGCGUAAAGGGUUCGCAGGCGGCCAUUUAAGUCAGAUGUGAAAGAUCACAGCUCAACUGUGGUAAGCAUUUGAAACUGAAUGGCUUGAGUUAAGGAGAGGAAAGUGGAAUUCCUAGUGUAGCGGUGAAAUGCGUAGAUAUUAGGAGGAAUAUCAGUGGCGAAGGCGACUUUCUGGACUUAUACUGACGCUGAGGAACGAAAGUGUGGGGAGCAAACAGGAUUAGAUACCCUGGUAGUCCACACUGUAAACGAUGAGUGCUAGGGGGGCGGGGGGUCAAACCCCCGGUGCCGGAGCUAACGUAUUAAGCACUCCGCCCGGGGGAGUACGUGCGCAAGCAUGAAACUCAAAGGAAAUGACGGGGACCCGCACAAGCGGUGGAGCAUGUGGUUUAAUUUGAAGCAACGCGAAGAACCUUACCAGGUCUUGACAUACGAUGCAUAGCCUAGAGAUAGGUGAAACCCUUCGGGGCAUCGAUACAGGUGGUGCAUGGUUGUCGUCAGCUCGUGUCGUGAGAUGUUUGGUUAAGUCCAGCAACGAGCGCAACCCUUAUUACUAGUUGCCAGCAUUCAGUUGGGGACUCUAGUGAGACUGCCGGUGACAAACCGGAGGAAGGUGGGGAUGACGUCAAAUCAUCAUGCCCCUUAUGACCUGGGCUACACGCGUGCUACAAUGGAUGGUACAACGAGGAGCGAACUCGCAAGGGCAAGCAAAUCUCUUAAAGCCAUUCUCAGUUCGGAUUGUUCUCUGCAACUCGAGAGCAUGAAGCCGGAAUCGCUAGUAAUCGCGGAUCAGCACGUCGCGGUGAAUGCGUUCCCGGGCCUUGUACACACCGCCCGUCA